GAUCCUGGCUCAGGAUGAACGCUAGCUACAGGCUUAACACAUGCAAGUCGAGGGGCAGCGGGAUUGAAGCUUGCUUCAAUUGCCGGCGACCGGCGCACGGGUGAGUAACGCGUAUCCAACCUUCCGCAUACUUGGGGAUAGCCUUCUGAAAAGGAGAUUAAUACCCGAUGGUAUCAAGAGAUUGCAUGAUAACUUUAUUAAAGUAAAUUUACGGUUAGUGCGAUGGGGAGUGCGUUCCUACUUAAGG
rnacentral:rRNA from 1 species